GCGAACGUUGUGCAAGCAGCGGGGGGAGUCAGCAAGGUGCGAGCGGUGUUCGGAGUGACGUGGCGUAAAGGGCGCGCAGGCGGCAGACACAGUCAGGCGGGAAAGCCCCGUGCUUAACCUUGGAACUGCGUCUGUGACUGGUUUGCUAGGGAUCGGGAGAGGAGAGUGGAAUUCCCAGUGUAGAGGUGAAAUUCGUAGAUAUUGGGAAGAACACCGGUGGCGAAGGCGGCUCUCUGGACCGAGACUGACGCUGAGGCGCGAAAGCGUGGGGAGCAAACAGGAUUAGAUACCCGAGUAGUC
rnacentral:rRNA from 1 species